rnacentral:rRNA from 1 species
UACGUAGGGGGCAAGCGUUGUCCGGAUUUAUUGGGCGUAAAGAGCGUGUAGGCGGCCAGACAAGUCUGCUGUGAAAACUCGAGGCUUAACCUCGAGAUGUCAUCGGAAACCAUUUGGCUAGAGUCCGGAAGAGGAAAGUGGAAUUCCUGGUGUAGCAGUGAAAUGCGCAGAUAUCAGGAGGAACACCAACGGCGAAGGCAGCUCUCUGGGACGUUACUGACGCUGAGACGUGAAAGCGUGGGGAGCAAACAGG